UACAUACACACACACACCAAGAACCCAGAAAAGAUCUGUGACCAUUUCCUUUUUUAAAAAUGGUUGCCUAGCCUUGAUAUUUCACAUCUAUCUUUUCAGUAUUUCGUGAAAGAACCACUAACAUCCCAUUACACCAGGAAGCAAAUGCAUUAAGGAGAAUAUAAUUUCACACAGUAAUAAACUCCAUGAAGAAAUGGGAACAAGGUGAUGUGAUGGAGGGCGGCCUGGGGGAAGAAGAGCAAAUCUAUAACAUGUCAGUGAAGUCAUCUAUCUCCCAUCCCGCACCUGGGCAGGGAGCUGUUUCCACAGGAACAGAGAGGAUGAAGCAUUCUGGGGAGCUGGAAAGGGAAGAACAGAAUUCUGGGUAAAAACAGCUUAGGAUGAACUGGACUGAAUCAGCGCUAAGAGGCUGUUGAGAGGUGGCCUUGCAGUGAUCAAUCAAUCAGGUGGGGCUGGGGGCGUGGCUACAGUUUGGUCUGUUAUCCUAUUUGCAAGGCAAGUCUCUUGUGGGAAUGAAGCCCGGACUUACCAGAUAUGAUUUAUAUAUUAUUUCUUUCCUCUUUUAUGUAUCAGACAGGUAAUGUCCUGACAUUUUAACACAGUUUGGGAGAAGCCUAUCCCUCACAGUGACAUGAGAACUCACAUUUAUGAAUCACAAAAAGUAUCUCAGUUUAUAUUUCAAAGGGAACAAUGACAUGAAAGCAUGGGAAGAGAGAUGUCACAGAAUAAAGGACGCCGAGGGACAGAACCGAGCACGACGGCCCAUCUCAUUACAUCCUUAUAAAACCUCUUUAGAACAAACUCAGGAAAUCCGAAUAGAGAAAAAAAGAAGGCCCCACACAGACACGAGCAGUCACCGUAUGAUGAAGAAGUAUCUAUAUGGACGCAGACAACUUUUAAAUUCUGCCUCCCUGGUUUUGCAACUUUGCUGGAUGCUGGGGGUACAGCCAAGGUUAAACUUAACAUUUGCCUCACAAACUGAAGACAAAAAGUUGCAGAAUCUCACAGAAUAAAAGAGGAAUGGACCUAAUUUGAAUAUUGUGACGACUUCUUGACACCUACUGCCUCUAGACGGAGAGCAGACUAUACCUUCAAGUUGCCCUCUGUGGGGAGAAGGGGUGUGGCUUGAAGUUAUAAAUGUGAUCCAGUUAGACAAAAGCAUCCCUGAACGAAGGUUCAGAGAAAAGGUUCUAUGUGCCAGGCAAGCGAGUAGCAGAGCAAAGCUAGCAGGCUCGUAGUGUUUGUCCUGUCCAGGGGUGUUGGGAAGGCUAACUCUGGGUAGCACAUAAGCAUCUCACUCUGCAAUGCCACAGCUAUGGGAUUUGGGAUGGAGGCCUUCUGCUGGUGAGCCAGACCUGUGAAUGAGGAGACUCAUCUGAACACUCUGAAAAUCCGAGUUCAGAGGUAUGGAGUCUGGAGCAGGCUCUGGAGAUGGGU
rnacentral:sRNA from 1 species